GAUGAACGCUGGCGGCGUGCCUAAUACAUGCAAGUCGAGCGAACAGAUGAGGAGCUUGCUCCUCUGACGUUAGCGGCGGACGGGUGAGUAACACGUGGAUAACCUACCUAUAAGACUGGGAUAACUUCGGGAAACCGGAGCUAAUACCGGAUAAUAUAUUGAACCGCAUGGUUCAAUAGUGAAAGACGGUUUUGCUGUCACUUAUAGAUGGAUCCGCGCCGCAUUAGCUAGUUGGUAAGGUAACGGCUUACCAAGGCAACGAUGCGUAGCCGACCUGAGAGGGUGAUCGGCAACACUGGAACUGAGACACGGUCCAGACUCCUACGGGAGGCAGCAGUAGGGAAUCUUCCGCAAUGGGCGAAAGCCUGACGGAGCAACGCCGCGUGAGUGAUGAAGGUCUUCGGAUCGUAAAACUCUGUUAUUAGGGAAGAACAAAUGUGUAAGUAACUAUGCACGUCUUGACGGUACCUAAUCAGAAAGCCACGGCUAACUACGUG
rnacentral:rRNA from 1 species